UACGUAGGGCGCAAGCGUGUCCGGAAUUAUUGGGCGUAAAGAGCUCGUAGGCGGCCUGUUACGUCUGCUGUGAAAUCCCGGGGCUUAACCCCGGGCGUGCAGUGGAUACGGGCAGGCUGGAGGCAGGCAGGGGAGAACGGAAUUCCCGGUGUAGCGGUGAAAUGCGCAGAUAUCGGGAGGAACACCGGUGGCGAAGGCGGUUCUCUGGGCCUGUACUGACGCGAGGAGCGAAAGCGUGGGGAGCGAACAGG
rnacentral:rRNA from 1 species